rnacentral:rRNA from 1 species
UUGGGGGACUUUAAUGAAAUAUUACUCUCGUUGGAAAAAGAGGGAGGGAAUGCGAGACCAAAUGCAAUGAUGUGAGAGUUUCGUAAUUGUUUGGGAGAGUGUGGCCUGAAUGAUAUGGGAUGUAUAGGUGAUCUGUUCACAUGGAGGGGAGGCGAAACCAGGGAAAGAUUGGAUCGAGCAGUUCGUAAUGUAGAUUGGGCAAAUAAAUUUCCUCGGGCUACAAUCAUAAACGAAGAGCAUGUAUACUCACAUCAUCGUCCGCUCAUAUUAGACACAAAAUAUUUUGAUGAUAAUAUUUUUAAUCGCCCAAAGAGUCAAUGA